CCUACGGGAGGCAGCAGUGGGGAAUAUUGCGCAAUGGGCGAAAGCCUGACGCAGCGACGCCGCGUGAGGGAUGAAGGUCUUCGGAUCGUAAACCUCUGUCAGCAGGGAAGAACGGUCACUGUGCUAAUCAGCAGUGCAUUGACGGUAACUGCAAAGGAAGCACCGGCUAACUCGGUGCCAGCAGCCGCGGUAAUACGGAGGGUGCGGGCGUUAAUCGGAAUUACUGGGCGUAAAGCGCUCGUAGGCGGUAUGUCAAGUCAAGGGGGAAAUUCCCGCGCUCAACGUGGGAACGGCCUUUGAAACUGGCAAACUGGAGUGUGUGAGAGGAUAGUGGAAUUCCAGGUGUAGGAGUGAAAUCCGUAGAGAUCUGGAGGAACAUCAGUGGCGAAGGCGACUAUCUGGCACAUAACUGACGCUGAGGAGCGAAAGCGUGGGUAGCAAACAGGAUUAGAUACCCGAGUAGUC
rnacentral:rRNA from 1 species